rnacentral:rRNA from 1 species
CCACCGGAGCUUGCUCCACCGGAAAAAGAGGAGUGGCGAACGGGUGAGUAACACGUGGGUAACCUGCCCAUCAGAAGGGGAUAACACUUGGAAACAGGUGCUAAUACCGUAUAACAAUCAAAACCGCAUGGUUUUGAUUUGAAAGGCGCUUUCGGGUGUCGCUGAUGGAUGGACCCGCGGUGCAUUAGCUAGUUGGUGAGGUAACGGCUCACCAAGGCCACGAUGCAUAGCCGACCUGAGAGGGUGAUCGGCCACAUUGGGACUGAGACACGGCCCAAACUCCUACGGGAGGCAGCAGUAGGGAAUCUUCGGCAAUGGACGAAAGUCUGACCGAGCAACGCCGCGUGAGUGAAGAAGGUUUUCGGAUCGUAAAACUCUGUUGUUAGAGAAGAACAAGGAUGAGAGUAACUGUUCAUCCCUUGACGGUAUCUAACCAGAAAGCCACGGCUAACUACGUGCCAGCAGCCGCGGUAAUACGUAGGUGGCAAGCGUUGUCCGGAUUUAUUGGGCGUAAAGCGAGCGCAGGCGGUUUCUUAAGUCUGAUGUGAAAGCCCCCGGCUCAACCGGGGAGGGUCAUUGGAAACUGGGAGACUUGAGUGCAGAAGAGGAGAGUGGAAUUCCAUGUGUAGCGGUGAAAUGCGUAGAUAUAUGGAGGAACACCAGUGGCGAAGGC